UUUGAUCCAAGCUAUUCAAAAAGAACACGAGUUGAUAAGAAUUAUACUUCAAUGUAUUUAAGCUCAAGUCAAUUUGCAAUCAACUCAAUUUUAACCAAAAUAAAUUAUUUCAUAAACAAGAGAAAAGACUAUUUCACGAAUUUGAGAAAACCAAAUUUCUUCUUCUACCUUCCCUACAAAUUAACCAUGACCAAGAUAACAUUUUUGUUGUUGUUGGUGGUGAUAUAACCAAGAUAGCAUUUUAGUAGCUCUAUCAACUAUCUCCGACACAUUUACCACAUUUCCAUCCACCGUUUAUUUUAAGUGAGAUACAAUUAAUACCAACCAUUCACUAAUUAAGAAUGAUAAAUGUACAAAACGAGGUUCGCAAGCUUGCCUCUUAUAUCUGCUCUGUUUCAACCUCCUUUAUUCUUGGAAACUUUUUUUUUGAAAGAUUAUUCUUGGAAACUUCUUAUGUAUAUAAUGAUGAUAUAUGCAUGAAAGCUCGUCGUUUAUACAGGUAAUCAUCGAUAAAAUUGACGUCCAUGAAAUAUUUAAUUUAUUAGGAUAAAUUUUCAAUAAAUUUUGCGAAAGUUUAAUUGUUACUCCCUCUAUUACUAUUGAUUAUAAACAAAAUUAACUUUUUAGAUUCAUUCGAUCAAUUAAUUAUGCAUGUGAUCCAUAUUAUAAACUACAUACAUCAUUAAUUAAAUAAACUUAAAAAAUAAAAUUUGCUUAUAAUUAAAACAGCAGGAGUAUUAAUUAGUGCUAGUUGUAUAAGUUACCUCUGAAUCAAAUGAAGUAAAGAUAAGAACAACACAGUAGGAACCACAUUUAAGCAAAAUAAAUCCUUCCGAAUGAAGCAGAAACCAUCGAACAAAAUCAGAAAGCAACGACCACAUUAUAAAAACCAAAAUACAUUGACCUCUUAAGAGUUUAAAGACUUAAAACAAAACAUAAAAUACUUCUUCAAACAUCUUUCUUGAUGAAAACACUGGUCAGGACAGUCUUGGAUUGCAAAGAAGCUUUAAGUAACUUGAUGCCCUGUAAUAAAAAUAAAAACCAAUGCAAUGUGAGUAUUAAAAAAAAAUUAAUGACAUAUUUAACAAAUAUAAAUAUCAAAUAACAAUAUACUUUACCUCAUCCAUUCCCAUCUCAACAACCUUUUCCUGCAACGCACCAACCUCCUUGAUAUUGAAUUUGUUCAGCAAAGUAAUGCUUGAUAUUGUUGACAUUGGCUGAACGACUAAAUCAUCCAUCACCAUAAAUGUCACAACAUCUUUCACAAAACCAUUCGCAGUCGAAAUGUUCUUUCGGACAGCCUUCUUUCCAAUAUAAUCCAUUUGAUAGGCCAUAACUUGACUGCAAUUAAUACAACGAGUUGAGCUAUCACAUGUGACAUAAGCACACCUGUUUAAGCAUCUAUAGUACAAAGUUACUUCAUCUCCUACGAUGUUAUUGGCAUCUGCAUCAUUUGCGGGAAGAAAGCCAGCAAUUCCAGCAGAAGAGACAGGAGCUAUUGGGUUCAAGAGUUCCUCCUUAGUUUGGUUUUGUUCCAUAUAAUUAUCAGACAGAGUUUCAACACUAUGAUAGAGGUUACCUAUGCUACCAACCAUGCCAUUUUUGGUCAGUAGUUUAACUACUGUACCGACAGGCAAGCGAAGCAAGUUAAAGAGAAAAUCUAUCACAGCUUUGGAAGCUUCAGCGAACAGAACUUUGUCAUUUUUAGUGUCAAUGAGAAGUUUGAGGGUCACUUUGUUGGGAGAAGAAGAAGUUGAAGAAGCCAUGUUGAAAGGAUAACAAACCGAGAUGCUGUAUUGUUGAUUUAUAUAGGCCGAUUCUAAGGAAUAAUGUGGUAUAAAGGCAUAUUGCAGUACUAUUUAUUAGGCUUAUUGAUGUGUUUAGCCCUUGCAAUUAGGCGGUAUUUAAAAAUUCGUCCCUGUAAUUGCUAAUCCUGGCAUUUUAACCCUGUAAUUGUUAAUCGUUUAAAAUUUCGUCCCUCUCCCCACUUAAUCACUGCCACGCCACAUGAAAUUCCAAAUUUACCCCUGGGUUUCCAAUUCUUUCUUCAAUAUUUUGUCCUCUUCUUAAGGGCAAAAUUGAAAUUUCAUGUGUGACAGUGAUUGCCACGUCAUCAAAUUAGUGACGUGGCAGUGAUUAAUUUGGUCCAAGGACCAAAUUUUAAACGAUUAACAAUUGCAGGGUUAAAAUGCCAGGAUUAACAAUUACAGGGACGAAUUUUUAAAUGCCGCCUAAUUGCAAGGGCUAAACACAUCAAUAAGCCCUAUUUAUUAUUAAGAGCUUAGGAAUGUGGCAACUGUGAAUUCCCAUGUCAAUGUAUUCAAUCGAGAUUUCAGUCAAACAGUUUUUUGAGCUUACAAACAAUAACCAAUUUCAGGCAAACCAUGCAGGAGCGUGGUUGUGGCUGUGGACUGGUGUAAAUGACUAAUCUACUUCCCACGCAUUAAAAAUUACUUAGUGUUUCCAAAGUGUGUGAAUCUUAAAAAAUAAAAAGAGUCUAUUUUUAAAUGUACAAUUAAUUUAUAAGAAAUUAUUCGUCCAGUGUAAAUAAAAGAGUCAUUGAAAAAUAAAAGACUUUAUUCUAUGGUCUUAGCCUCUUGGGCAAAAAAAAUAAAAAAUACAAGACUAUACUAUGUGAAUUCAAUUGAGUAAUGAUUCUCCUUAGAGUUAGAUAUUUGGAUGAUGUAAUUGAAUUUUUUAAAUAAUUUAGAAUUUUAAGCAAUUCAAAUAACUCAAUUAAAUUACAUUCAUUUUUAGAUAUUUUUGUUUGGAUGAACUAAUAAAAAAAAUUCUAUUGUCAAUAUUUUUGGACUACUUUUAUAAAUUUUAUUUUUUGGGGCUAAAUUUGAAAAUUGAAAAUAGGGGUCAAUUUGCAAAUUUCAAUUUUUUUUGAGAGCUCAAUUUAUAAUUUUUGACAAAAUUAUCCAUUUGGGGUUGGUCUAGUGGUUGACUUGGGAUCUUGGAGUUUGCUCAUCUCAAUGUCUCAGGUUCGAUUAUCUCUAGUGCCAAUUCCGGUGGGCAAAUCCAAGCUUUGCUCUGGCUUUUAAAUGGAGCCACUGCAAGUGGACGGUGGGAUUGGUCCCCUCAUAUUAGUCGGUUCUUGGAUCGGAUACUGAGUUUUUAAAAAUUUGAAAAAAUUGAAGGGUAAAUUUGUAAUUUCCAAAAUAGGGGUCAAAUUGCAAUUUUUUGGAAAUUAAAAUAGGGGUUAAAUUGAAAUUUUUUGGUAAUUUAUUGGGGUCAUUUUGAAAAUUUUGGAAAAAAUGAUUACUAAAAGGCAAAACUUGGAAAAUUUUAACAAUGAAGAAAUUUAAAAUUCUUAACUUUUAGACGUCAUUUGAAAUUCUCAAACUUUAACUUGAACAAAAUACUUCAUAAAUUUCCAUCAUUUUAAAAAUUCUUCAAAUUAUCAUCCAAACAAUAAAAUUUACCUAAAAAUAUUUGAAUUCCCUCAAAACAUUUCUCCAUCCAAACAACAAAGUCUUUAUACAAGUGAAUGAUUAUACCAUAAGCUAAGCCUAUCAUAGAGUAUAAUUGCUUGCACAACAAGUAACAACUUUCCUAACUAACUUCGUAAAAAGUCGGAGCUAUACCAUUGUCUCCAACUUCCUUUAAAUAACUUUUAACUAUGUCUGUAGUCUCCUCAAUAGAUGAAGUUGAAUCAUCUUCACUUACUAUCUCAUUAAUAUCCCCUCGCAAGUUGGAACUUGGAAGAUGUUGACCACGCCCAACUUGGGCAAGAGAAAAAGGC
rnacentral:lncRNA from 1 species